AUGCUGAAAUCUGCGCAGUGCUGGUUCCCAAUACUAGGAAAAGACAUCACUUUCGUUAGUCCUUCAGGUAGGAGCAAAUCUCUACUUCACAAUAAUCAUAUUACAGUGGUACCUUGGUUCACAAACUUAAUUUGUUCCACAAUUUUGGAAAAGCUGGCCAUGUUUGUGUUUGUGCGGGAAAGAUGGCCACAGUUGUGUUUGUCACCUGAUACAGAAUUUGCAAACAAAAACAAUUGUUCACAAACAAAAGGAUUCGUGAACUGAGGUACCACUGUAUUUGAUGGCUGGUCUCUAAGUCUUCUAAACAUAAGUUGCUCCUAAAUAAUCCACAAACCCAAAGAAAAUGGGAACUCAAGAGGAAACCAGAAAUUUGCCCCUAACUUUGCCUCCAUCUGAAGAUCCAAGCAAGAGCACCUGCUGAACUGUUUCCUUCGAAGUAAAAUGGAAAGAGAUGAUCUCUAACAUCUACUUUACCCCAGAGUGCAAUUUAAACUACUACUUCUUAAAAGAAACAUAUGAAAAAAACAAAACAUGAAGGACUCAUCACAAAAUGUGCUGUUUCAAGGACAGGCAGUUUAGGUGCUAAGUUCUCACUCUAUCCCAAACAUGUAACUCAUGUUAAGAAAGGAAAAUUCCCCAAAGCCUCAGAAUACUGCCAUGUAUGGGAUGCAUGAAACUCUCCCCUACGGUUUCUGAGAGGUUACAGAUCUCUUUCUCCAUCUUUGGACUUGCUUGUGAAGAUGUUUAACUGAAAACCAGUGCAGAACACUCCCUUGCCAACUUAGCACUUAUGUGUUCAUCACACAGUCCUGCCCCUGAAUUAGAGAUAAUGCAAUAAAAGUAGAGAAAUUUUAAGAAUGUCAAGAUCACUUUGAAACGGUUUUAUGGUAAAGGUAACAUUCCUUCUCAAGAACCAUACUAAACUGAGUAUGACCUGCCGACCCCUUGCACAAACCUAACUGUAUGAUCUGUACUUCAAUAGUAAGCUCUGUUCUUUUUCAUCAGAUGAAUUCUCAGAAAAUUUCUAACUUGAGGCCCAGGCCCGAGUUAUUCUGUAUUUCACAGAAUGAAAGUGCUUUCAAAAUGAGCUGGUAAUUACCCUCAUUUAACAGAUGAGAAAGCCAAGGUCCAGAAGAAAGGUCUUAGUAAUGCUACACUGCAGUACACUGCAGAUAAGGCUGGGGCUCAAGAACUCUUUCCUCCCCUGACACUCAUAGUCCCCUUGACUCCAGGUAAGCCAUGGUCAGAAGAGACUGAAAGAAGAUACUCUGUAUUAACCAACACGUGUUCUCUAAAACACCUCAAUGAAUC
rnacentral:lncRNA from 1 species